AACGUCAAAAACAGCACCACUUCUGAGCCUGAAAUUGAAGAUGACACCGACUCGGAACUUGAAUCGGAAAUUCUCGAGACUGAUGAGAUGGAUGCCGUCACUACGUCUCCACUGAUGACGUCAUCAGUUCCAAAGUUCGCCCUAAUCUUCAUUAUUCCGAUUUUCCUCGCAAUUCUUCUGUACUUGGUGCCAAUCGAUUUUUUUCAAUGGACUCUAUGAGAACUAAAUUCUACUUGCUGAUAUAAAAAAUUGAUAAUUAAAAUUAUUUAAAAGCAAAAUAGUUUUACUUUAAAAUUGAAAUAUCUUUAACAACAGGCAUCUAAUUAUGAAUCAAUGUGUUUUUUGCAAAUAUAAUCCCGCAUCACUUCAUUACACUCCUGGUCCCACUCAUAGUCAAAAAAAAACCAGUACCUGUUGUAGCUUGAGAACCAUGCUCGAAAAAUCAAACUUGUUCAGUGCCCUUACAGUACCCCUACAGUACCCCUUCCAUAUCCAUACAAUAACCCUACACUAAGCAUACAGUACUGAAAAGCAAUUUUCAGGAAGUUGCUCAAUCCUGGAAAGCAUCCCGAAAAAACGUACGUGCACCAGGACCUCUACAGUACUCCAUCACUACCCAUAUUCUACAGUCCCACUAUUUUAUUUUCUACAGUACUCCUGCAGUACAGCAAUGGUACAUCUACAGUAACCCUACAGUGCCUUAUAGUAAUUUUUGUGUAAUUAUGUGGAUACUGUAGCGUUAAAAAUACGUUAACAAGAGAAAUCCAGAAUUUUUUUAUUUCGUUUUGAAAUUUGAAACAAAAAUUGAAAAUUUUUCACGUGAACCAGAAUUUUCACAAAAAAUUGGGAGUUUGUUGGAUCCACGUGGACAUAUUUGGAAUUUUUUCUCAGAUUUUGAAUUUGAAAAAGUUUUAUUUCGAUAUUUGUCGGUUGCUUCGAGCAAAAUGCCCAAAACUCCGUUGACUCAACGGCAAAUUGCUGCAAAAUACAAAAAUGAGACUUGGGACGACAUUGUGAAAGAGGUUAGUUGGAAUUUUCUAGCAUUCCGUACCCAAUAAUUGACUAUAUUUUAGAUGAGAGAAAACUCUGCAUACUGGAUGGAUACGGUAGGUUUUUGUUUGAAUUCCCAGCAAAAUUGUUCUUUUCAGACUUUACCGAAAGCCGAGCAGCGCAGAAAUUAUGGGAAGAUGGAGGAAUUUGUGAAAAGAAUGGAUAUGUGCCGGGAGAGACAGAAGGCGGUUAGUUGAAUAGAGGGAGAGAGACCAGACAGCACUCUAACUGUCUGCGCUCUGGUUAUCCGAUUUUUUAAAGCAAAUUCUGAAAAAUCGACAGUUUUCGGGGUUUUUUUCCUCAAAAUUAUCGACUUUGACAAUUUAGAAAAUGUUUCUUUUCAAACUAUAAUUUUUUUUGAAACUGUCUAGUUUUUUUCCGAUUUUUGAGAAAUUAAUAAAAACAUAAACUUUAAAAGUUGGAAAUUAUCGAUUAAUUCCAACAAUAAAUCCAAUUUUCAGACGGUAGAAAAUCUGAAAAAUCUGGAAAAACUUGUGGAGCAAGACGAGAAUGGAAAUGCGGUGGGCAUCCAGAAAAACUUUUUUCUGUAAUGUACCUAAAUUACAGGAAAUUUCCGCGGAAGAUCAAGAGAUUCUAUCGAUGCUGAAAUUGGAUCAAGUAAGAGACUUUGUGCACCAGAACUUCUAGAACUACGGGAAUAUUUUCAGAAUGCUCAUAAAGCAAUUUUGAAUCUUCGCAACUCGGAUUUUGAGGGUCUUGAGCCGGAAGUUAAAGACACAAUUAUGUAUUUCAGAAAGGUGAGCAUUUCCUGAUUCUGAACAACUGAAUUUUAUAGAUUUCGCUCAAAAACUAACAGAUUUACGGCUAAUUUUCAAAUAGAGUGAAGGAGGGGAGAGAGCGCAGACGACGAGAGUGUCUCGUUUCUCUUUCUCUCCUCACAUUACCUCACACUCAUUAUACAUUUUUCAGAUUGAAAUGGAAGACGAGGUAUUCGGAAAAGAGCCGGUGGAUGCUUCUGAUAGUGACGAAG
rnacentral:sRNA from 1 species